rnacentral:lncRNA from 1 species
UGGCACUCUUCACGACAAGCCUGAUUGCACUGUUAAGCUCCAGAGGAAAAAAUGUGGCUAUAGAGUAUAUUAAAAUACAUACAAUUGAAAAGGAAGAUGUUCAUUUUUGCAAGCAGAAGAUUACCAACAGAAUGCUAAAAUUAAAGGCUUUGCAGGACCACAACAACCACUCCCAGUCAUGAUGGAGAGAAGUGUUCAAUACCCACAGAUCCUGAACGUUGAGCUGAUUAUACUAACUAGAUGGGACUUAGUUUUGUCUACCGUGGGGUGAGCGUAUACUACCUGAGGGAACAGGUUCUCUAUGGUGAAGAUGGCAACUUGCUGACUCAGUCUCAGAAUGCGUUAAAUCCACAUAUUCUGGCAAGUGGAGUUCUGCUUCUCCAAUAUCUCUUCCAGACUAAGUCUCGAAAGGACAGUAAUUGAUCCACCCUGAGUCAUAUGCCCAUGUCCAAAGCAAUGAGUUUGGGAAAUUUCAUGACACACUCCUAAUUUUGUGGUAGGAGACACAUCAGAACCACACAAUGAGUCAGUCCUAUUUAUGAAAUAGAGGUUCAUCUAUCAGAUGAAAGGGAAAAAAGUUGUAAAAACAAAACAGAUGUUCACUAAUGGGGAUCUAUCUGAAUUUCACCUGUAACUACAAAUGCUCACAAGUAGAUUUACAGUUUUCCUAGAGUGUCAUGAAUUUAAAAACAUAUGCAUGGAAUCAUAAAGUA